UUGAUAGGCUCUACGUGGAAGUCCAGUAAUGGAUGCAGCGGAGGAGUACUAAUAGACCGAGGGCUUGACCAA
rnacentral:rRNA from 1 species